rnacentral:rRNA from 1 species
AUGGGGACGGGGGCGGUGGCGCCGGAGCGGCCGAAGCAGCGGCGGGGGGGGCACCUGUGGAAGCGCGCGGUGCUCCACUUCUCGCUCUGCUUCGUCAUGGGCUUCUUCACCGGCUUCGCGCCCUCCUCCUCCUCCUCCUGGAGGCCCGGCGGCGGGGCCGGCACGCCGCCGCCGCUUCUCGCGGCGGAGCAGCUCGCCGCGUCCCGUGUCGCCGGCAGCAGGGACCAGCACAUCAGCCUGGCGCCGCCCUCGCCGGAGGGCGCGGCGGCGGCUGGCGGGGGCGGCGCGGUGGUCGACCUGGACGACGACGAGGAGAGCGGCCCGAGGAGGAUGCUGAUAGUGGUUACCACGACCAGGUCCGGGGCCGGGGAGCGGCGGCGCAGGCGGCCGGAGCUGCUGCGGCUCGCCCACACACUGCGCCUGGUGCGCCCCCCGGUCGUCUGGGUGGUGGUGGAGCCGGCGGCCGACGCGCCCGCCACGGCCGAGGUGCUCCGGGGCACCGGGGUCAUGUACCGGCACCUGGCCUUCCGCCCCGAGGAGAACUUCACCACCGCCGCCGCCGAGGCCCACGCGCAGCGCAACGCCGCGCUCGCGCACGUCGAGAAGCACCGUCUCUCCGGCGUCGUCCACUUCGCCGACGCCGCCGGCGUCUACGACACCCACUUCUUCGAGGAGAUCCGCCAGAUCGAGGCGUUUGGGACAUGGCCAGUGGCAACAAUGUCCGCGGGCGAGAAGAAAGUAGUGGUUGAGGGCCCACUGUGCAGCGCCUCGAAGGUAGUCGGCUGGUUCUCGAGGAACUUCAAUGAUGGUACCACCCGUUCAGUGACAUAUAACACUGAGGUUGACUUGAAUCCUGCCGGUGCUGCUGGCACGCGAGCCCACACGAUCGAUGUAUCAGGGUUUGCGUUCAACAGUUCUAUUUUGUGGGACCCUGAGCGAUGGGGACGACCGACGUCAUUACCGGACACUUCACAGGACUCGAUCAAGUUUGUGCAAGAGGUGGUGCUGGAGGACAGGACAAAGCUGAAGGGGAUCCCCUCCGACUGCUCCCAGAUCAUGGUGUGGCAGUAUGAUGUGCCCAGUAGCCCCAACACUCCGAAAACCAAAACCAAAACCGCCACCCCGAAAACCCACCAUAGAAGAAGGUAG